GACGAACGCUGGCGGCGUGCUUAACACAUGCAAGUCGAACGAAGUGGCGGACGGGUGAGUAACGCGUAAUCAACCUGCCCUUCAGAGGGGGAAAACAGUUGGAAACGACUGCUAAUACCCCAUAAUGAAGGAGGGGAUUGCGUCUGAUAAGCUAGUUGGAGGGGUAACGGCCCACCAAGGCGAGGAUCAGUAGCUGGUCUGAGAGGAUGACCAGCCACACUGGGACUGAGACACGGUCCAGACUCCUACGGGAGGCAGCAGUGGGGAAUAUUGCACAAUGGGCGCAAGCCUGAUGCAGCCAUGCCGCGUGUGUGAAGAAGGUCUUCGGAUUGUAAAGCACUUUAAGUUGGGAGGCGUUACCAACAGAAUAAGCACCGGCUAACUACGUGCCAGCAGCCGCGGUAAUUC
rnacentral:rRNA from 1 species